CCCUGAGCCUCAACGACCGAAACGAACAAGACGGUGACUGAAACCUGCGACAAUGUUUUUAGUUUAUCUCCCGUCCGUUACAUUUAACGUCAUUAUUAGCAGACGAAAGCCGGAGCUGCCGUUCAAAGGAGAAAAGACGAGAUGAGGACGAUGGAAACAGGAAGCAGCCAACAACUAAAUGGGUCCAAGCAUCAGAGCACAUGGCAGAAGAAAGAGAAAACGUACCCACUCUCCUGUGUGCAAAGGCCUCGGCCGCCUUAUGGAACAAGGAAAACACUGUCAGCGCCAAAAUACAGUCCUUCAGUAAAAAGACAUUACUUUGUUGUACUCAGAUCCACGUAUAUUCACAAUACCAAAAUACUAUAAAACCUAAUACUAUUAUACUAAAUGUAUUGUGUUAGUGCUAAAAUAAAUAUAAUGAAGUGAUGAAAGUAAUUUACUACUUUACUAAUGAAAGUAAUGAAACACGGUGAAAAUAGAACCAGUGCCCACGGUGACUGUGGGAAUGUAACAUAACAGCCUCGUGAGCUGCACAAGCCUUUGGCUCCUUUGUCAUUUACUGACAACAUCGCUGCAAAAUUAUAAAUAAAACAACUUGUUUUGUCACCAAAGUUAUUAGAUGCGUGUGUUUUAUCAGAAUCUUUUUGGGCUGGCGAUGGAAACCUGUCCAAACCAACUGCAGGCCUGAAUGAAUGAGAAUGAAUGAAGUCUGUCUAGUUUUCCUGUUUUCUGCCUCUUGGUUCAAAAUGAUGCGACUUUAAAAGAGCAAACUUACUUUCUGGCUGAGAAAG